AUCUUUAGAAUCUUUUGGUUUUGUUUAUUUGAAAUAGUUUUUGAUAGUCGAUUGAUCCUGCUCUUUAAUCUUCUUAAGUUCAUUGUUUGGGUUUCUUGGUCAAUCAUUAAGAACAAGAAGAUAGAAUGAAUCAGAAUAAAUUUUUUGGGGGUUUUCCCCUUCUAUCGUAGGGAGGGUUUGAUGAAUAUUUCUGAAAAUAGUUGAGAGAUGUGUCUUGUUUCGUAAUGCUUUGUUAGAUGGCUUAUCUGUUCCAUAUAAAUAUAUUAUUUUUUGAAUUUGUUCAUCUACAAACGUGUUUUCUUUCUGGGUUUCUCUAGAUGAGCAAUUCCAAGUUAUUUUUAUGUGCUUUGUUGUAGGAGUAGAAAUAAAGGGAUAUCACAUAUAUGUAAAAGUUAUUUUUCUUCAAUGAUAUAGGUUCAGUGAUUAUCUCCACUAACCUGUUUAUUUUGUGGAUAUUAUAUAUACCUUACAGGAGACAGAUUGGAGGCUGACUAAUGAUGAUGAUUUUGAAGUAUCUUUGUUUCCAUAUUGGUCUUUAUGUGCAUGUUUUCUCUCUUUUAUUGCAGUGUAAUGAUUCUGUUCUUGAAAUCUGAGAUUAUUAACAACCUUUUGAUUGUGAAUCUUAAGAUCAUCUCAUUGAGUCAUAUUUUGUCUCUAUUUUUACAUGUUUCAGAUCUAGAUUAUCUGUUUAUAACAGUGUGUAAUGAAGUCUAAAUUAUUAACUACUGAUUUGAACUUAACUUCUCUUUCUUUUCCCUUAUUAUGCAAGCUUUUGUGUGGUAACCUUUUUAUAGUUUCCAGUUAAAUGUUUUUCCUUUUCGAGUUCUUUCUGUGUUGCUCAUAUAUGUUUGUAGACUAUUUUCACGUGUUUAGGUUAUUAAUUAUCUUUAUUUUGUUGGCUAAGCUUUUAAUGUAUUCUGUUGUUGUUUAAAAGAUAAAGGGACAUCAGUGUCACUUGUAGUUUUUACUAGUUUCCAGUUAAAUGCUUAUAUGAAUCAUGAGUAGUGUGGUCAGGAAUUUCUUUCUUUGAUGCUAUGGUUUUUUUUCCAACUGAUUGUGUGUUCUACACUAUUUAAUUAGUACCAUAUUCAUGCUAUGGAAUGUAUAUUUAGUGUUUCUUUUUGGCUUAAUGGGUUAAGCACUUAAUCUGGAGAGCUAUAUGACUGUUUCUAUUUUGAAUCUUAUGAUGACUAAAUGUUUUUUACUCAUAUUUAGUUCUCAUCAAGUCUUCAUUCAGACCCUCGAUUCAUAGCAGUGAGUGUAGAUUGUGUGCCUUUUGAAUAUUAAUAUUAAGAGCAUCACAUUCUUUUUCUACAGUUCCUAUGGUGGCAACAAAUGCAUGUAUGGAUCCAAAGAUUCAAUUCUUUGUUUAUCAUAUGUUGUUUUUCAUCUGUCACUUGUCUUGUUCUUGGUUCUUCUUUGAUGGGUUUAUUUGAAGGGUUUUGAUUUUUGAAUGACAGAGGUUCCUUAUACAAUUCUUUCCAACUUGAAAAUUAAGGUCAUUGAGUUUCUUGGUUAUCGGGUUCUUUUUUUUUUCGUCAUGUUCUUCAUUUUAUACAGAGAUAUCAGUAUGGCUUAUAUAACAAAUAUUUUUCUUUAAUGAUUAUCUCCAUUAACUUGUUUAUUUUGUGGAUAUAUACCUUACAGGAUAACUAAUGAUGAUGAUUUUGAAGUAUCAUCUUUUCUAUAAUGGUCUUUAUGUGUUUCCUUUUUUAUUUUUUUGGUUUCUGGUUGAAAGUUGGGGAGUUCUCUUCCAUUUUGGUGAGAUGUUUUCUCAAUGUGGAUAUUCCAUUCAAGUAGGUGUCUGAUUUCAGCUCUUUCUUUCUCUCUUUUAUUGCAGUGCAAUGAUCCUGUUCUUAGAAUCUAAGAUCCUCUCAUCUUUUUUUUUUCUUUUUUUUUUCUAUAGUUGCUAUGAUGACACCAAAUGUACAUCUGUUUACUUAGAUUCAGUUCUUUUCAAUUCUUGCAUGCUGGUAAAUUACAAUUGAGUUAGGUUGUCCUUUCUUAUUAUUGCUAUAGAGGCCCCACCCAAAGUCAAUGGAUGUUUACUCAGAAUCCAUUCCUGUGAUGGUGGCUAUUUGCAGGAAGGACAUUAUGUUCAAAACAACUCGACUAAUAGCCUGAAUAUGAUGUCCCUCUUGUAGACUAUUUUCAUGUGUUUAGGUACCACUUUCAGUUGUGAUGAUGCAUGGUGACACAAAAUGCAUGAGACAGAUGGGAGUCUGACUAAAUCUAAUGAAUUUAAAGCAUCUUCUUUUCUAUAAUGGUCUUAAUUUGUUUUGCUUUUUUGGGUUUCUGGUUGAAAGUUGUGGAGCACAAGCAUGAGACUUCUCCUUCCAUUAUGGUUAUUUGUAAGCUUCUCAUGAAAAAUAAUUUGAUAGGAGCAACACACUGGGGAGCACAUGUUAUUAUGUAUAUAGCAAAAAUGCAAGGUUCAUUUAUAUGUUUCUUUGUGAUUAUUAAUUCAGUAAUGCUCAAUGAUCAAAAUGAUUGGUUUCAUUUGUGCAGAAAGUUCAAAAUCAGGGAUUCCUAUCCUAUCCUCCAAAGCAUGUUGAGAGAAACACUUCUUUUUUCCUUCACUGAAGAUGAAGGAAACACUUGUUUAUCUUAUGAUAAAUGCAAUAAAUGACAAUGUACUUUCAUUGAUUUGUUUAUUAUAGCAUCAUUCUUCCUAUUACAACAUGGCACUUUGAAAUACUUACCCAGUUAUAGCAAUA